GGCAUGAUGGCCGAGUGGUUUAAGGCGUGAGCCUUGAAUUUUCGUCAAUAGCUCAUGGGCUAUGCCCGCGUAGGUUCGAACCCUGCUCAUGUCG